UGAGCCGUAUUGUUCUGAGUGUCGAUUGUAUGCGAGAACCGUAAUAAAUAGCCAAGCAUACUAUAUAUAUCAACACAAACUGGAGAGUGUUACAACAGACACUAUUGCUCUACCAUUUUGUCAAGUAGAUUCACGACAAGGAAUGUAUAAGAACUAGCAAAGGCAAAGAAAGUCACCACACAGCAAGGCGUAUGUAUCCAAUGAGCAUGAAACAGAUGAAGUAUUCAUAUCAGUUUUGUCAA